GUCACUUUGCCGGAGUGGUUAACGGGAUCGCCUGCUAUACUUCGGUAUACUGGUUAGCGGUUGGGCUUUGCCCGCGAGUGUUCGAAUCGCUCAGGUGACG